CGGCAAGGGGGUCAUCCCGACUUACCAACCCGAUGCAAACUGCGAAUACCGGAGAAUGUUAUCACGGGAGACACACGGCGGGUGCUAACGUCCGUCGUGAAGAGGGAAACAACCCAGACCGCCAGCUAAGGUCCCAAAGUCAUGGUUAAGUGGGAAACGAUGUGGGAAGGCCCAGACAGCCAGGAUGUUGGCUUAGAAGCAGCCAUCAUUUAAAGAAAGCGUAAUAGCUCACUGGUCGAGUCGGCCUGCGCGGAAGAUGUAACGGGGCUAAACCAUGCACCGAAGCUGCGGCAGCGACGCUUAUGCGUUGUUGGGUAGGGGAGCGUUCUGUAAGCCUGUGAAGGUGUGCUGUGAGGUAUGCUGGAGGUAUCAGAAGUGCGAAUGCUGACAUAAGUAACGAUAAAGCGGGUGAAAAGCCCGCUCGCCGGAAGACCAAGGGUUCCUGUCCAACGUUAAUCGGGGCAGGGUGAGUCGACCCCUAAGGCGAGGCCGAAAGGCGUAGUCGAUGGGAAACAGGUUAAUAUUCCUGUACUUGGUGUUACUGCGAAGGGGGGACGGAGAAGGCUAUGUUGGCCGGGCGACGGUUGUCCCGGUUUAAGCGUGUAGGCUGGUUUUCCAGGCAAAUCCGGAAAAUCAAGGCCGAGGCGUGAUGACGAGGCACUACGGUGCUGAAGCAACAAAUGCCCUGCUUCCAGGAAAAGCCUCUAAGCAUCAGGUAACAUCAAAUCGUACCCCAAACCGACACAGGUGGUCAGGUAGAGAAUACCAAGGCGCUUGAGAGAACUCGGGUGAAGGAACUAGGCAAAAUGGUGCCGUAACUUCGGGAGAAGGCACGCUGAUACGUAGGUGAAGCGACUUGCUCGUGGAGCUGAAAUCAGUCGAAGAUACCAGCUGGCUGCAACUGUUUAUUAAAAACACAGCACUGUGCAAACACGAAAGUGGACGUAUACGGUGUGACGCCUGCCCGGUGCCGGAAGGUUAAUUGAUGGGGUUAGCGCAAGCGAAGCUCUUGAUCGAAGCCCCGGUAAACGGCGGCCGUAACUAUAACGGUCCUAAGGUAGCGAAAUUCCUUGUCGGGUAAGUUCCGACCUGCACGAAUGGCGUAAUGAUGGCCAGGCUGUCUCCACCCGAGACUCAGUGAAAUUGAACUCGCUGUGAAGAUGCAGUGUACCCGCGGCAAGACGGAAAGACCCCGUGAACCUUUACUAUAGCUUGACACUGAACAUUGAGCCUUGAUGUGUAGGAUAGGUGGGAGGCUUUGAAGUGUGGACGCCAGUCUGCAUGGAGCCGACCUUGAAAUACCACCCUUUAAUGUUUGAUGUUCUAACGUGGACCCGUGAUCCGGGUUGCGGACAGUGUCUGGUGGGUAGUUUGACUGGGGCGGUCUCCUCCUAAAGAGUAACGGAGGAGCACGAAGGUUGGCUAAUCCUGGUCGGACAUCAGGAGGUUAGUGCAAUGGCAUAAGCCAGCUUGACUGCGAGCGUGACGGCGCGAGCAGGUGCGAAAGCAGGUCAUAGUGAUCCGGUGGUUCUGAAUGGAAGGGCCAUCGCUCAACGGAUAAAAGGUACUCCGGGGAUAACAGGCUGAUACCGCCCAAGAGUUCAUAUCGACGGCGGUGUUUGGCACCUCGAUGUCGGCUCAUCACAUCCUGGGGCUGAAGUAGGUCCCAAGGGUAUGGCUGUUCGCCAUUUAAAGUGGUACGCGAGCUGGGUUUAGAACGUCGUGAGACAGUUCGGUCCCUAUCUGCCGUGGGCGCUGGAGAACUGAGGGGGGCUGCUCCUAGUACGAGAGGACCGGAGUGGACGCAUCACUGGUGUUCGGGUUGUCAUGCCAAUGGCACUGCCCGGUAGCUAAAUGCGGAAGAGAUAAGUGCUGAAAGCAUCUAAGCACGAAACUUGCCCCGAGAUGAGUUCUCCCUGACCCUUUAAGGGUCCUGAAGGAACGUUGAAGACGACGACGUUGAUAGGCCGGGUGUGUAAGCGCAGCGAUGCGUUGAGCUAACCGGUACUAAUGAACCGUGAGGCUUAACCUUACAACGCCGAAG
rnacentral:rRNA from 1 species